UAAUACGAAGGGGGCAAGCGUUGUUCGGAAUUACUGGGCGUAAAGGGCGCGCAGGCGGCCUGACAAGUCAGAUGUGAAAGCCCCGGGCUCAACCUGGGAAUAGCAUUUGGGACUGUCGGGCUAGAGAUCGGGAGAGGAGAGUGGAAUUCCCAGUGUAGAGGUGAAAUUCGUAGAUAUUGGGAAGAACACCGGUGGCGAAGGCGGCUCUCUGGACCGAUACUGACGCUGAGGCGCGAAAGCGUGGGGAGCAAACAGGAUUAGAUACCCUGGUAGUCCACGCUGUAAACGAUGUGUGCUAGACGUUGGGGAGCCUAGCUCUUCGGUGUCGCAGCUAACGCUUUAAGCACACCGCCUGGGGAGUACGGCCGCAAGGUUA
rnacentral:rRNA from 1 species